rnacentral:sRNA from 1 species
AAGCGUACAAGGUGGAUGCCUUGGCAAUCAGAGGCGAGGAAGGACGUGCUAAUCUGCGAAAAGCUUGGAUGAGUCGAUAAGAGGCGUUUAAUCCAAGAUGUCCGAAUGGGGAAACCCAGUAGAUGAAGAAUCUACUAUCACUUAUUGAAUCCAU